rnacentral:lncRNA from 1 species
CUGGACAUACGAAGUGAAGGGUAGAGCUAUUUUAUCAACUUUGAAAUUUUGUAAACAAUUAUCCCUUAGUUCUGUUAUUAUUAAGAGUGAUUUCUCACUUGCGGUAGGAUGUGUUAGGUGUAAGACCAAUAGACCUCUAAAGCUUCUACCUGAGCCAAGGGUGAUUGAUGUGCUCAUUCGAGAGGUUUCUUGUGUUGGGGUUGUACAUGUCUUUAGAGAAUUAAAUGAUUUAGCUGAUCAUUUAGCAAAGGAGGGUUGUAGUAGAGAAUUAAAUGAUUUAGCUUAUCACGCACAAUGUCAUUUGGAUUAAACUCAUUGGCAACAUUAGGCGGUGGUUCUAAUUCAACUUCCGGUUGCACAACAUUCACAUUCUCAAAUCCUUGGUUUAACAACCAAAAACUUCCUCAUCUUCCUAAAUAAACAACAAAGGAAAGCACAAUUAAAAAUUUGAAUCAAAUUAAAAAUGCACUAAAAGCCAACACUAAUAAACAAAUACAAUGAGAUCAAUAAUGCACCCAUGCUUUUAAUAGGGAAGAGGACCACCUCUCUCUACCCACUCACUCAAUAAAGAGUAAUUAAAAGCACAUUUUUCAUUAGCCUUCAAUGCACAUUUCAAUUUACAUAGUCUAGAAAGCACAAUUUAAUAGUCUCUUAAACCUCACCAUUCAAUACAUUAGACAUUUAUGCACAAUUUCCAUAGUCUAGAAACAUCAGUACAUGAGUACAGUUCAUCACAAUUUACACACACACACGGCCUCAUGUAUUGUGUACACCUGUUUGAAUACAAUUUACAAUUCAUGCUUUUUAUUUGUAAACUGGUUUUUUCAAUACAUGACAGUGAACUGAUUUACACACAGACGGCCUCAUGGUUUUUAUUUGUAAAUUGAUUCAAACAGGUGUACCAUCUGAGCGCCUCACAAUUCACACACGGGACACGACCUCACUCCCUGCCUCUCACUUCCCCCCCUCCCCCUCACUCACCCACGCGGCCAUUGAAGCUUGAUUUUCUCCAUUGUAGCUCGAUUUUCGCCCACAAUCACACACAUGACACAUUGACACACCAGCAAAAUCCCAAUUUUUUACAAGCUGAGAAGUGAAAUGGGAGCAAAUCAGAGUCAGAGGACACAGAUUAAGAAAUUUUACCUGCUUCUGCUUGGUGGAGGGAGCAAUUGAGAACAGAGACGUUACAGA